UACGAAGGGGCUAGCGUUGUUCGGAAUUACUGAGCGUAAAGGGCGCGUAGGCGGCUCUGAUCGUCGGAUGUGAAAGGCCUGGGCUCAACCUGGGAAUGGCAUCCGAUACGGCGGGGCUGGAGUGUGGGAGAGGUUGGUGGAAUUCCCAGUGUAGAGGUGAAAUUCGUAGAUAUUGGGAAGGAACACCGGUGGCGAAGGCGGCCAACUGGACCAACAACUGGACGCUGAGGCGCGGAAAGCGUGGGGAGCAAACAGG
rnacentral:rRNA from 1 species